CAUCAAACAUCCGUCUUGACCUAGUUCUUCUUGGUAGUUGAAUCAUACCGACAUCUGGAAAUCUGGUCUUUCUCAUUCAUCUAUUUUAAGCAGUCUGAUUGGCAGAAAUAAGAAGUGGAUAUUUCAAGGGGCUGGCAAACCAACUGUGUUUAGUUCCUUACCAUAAAGAAGGGAGCCGUAUGAUGAUGCCAGCCUUAUAUAUGGUUCUUGAGCGCAGCUCUUCUGCAAGUGCUCUGCUUCCUUCAGGCAUUCUUCUUUCAGGUCUGCACGGCUGCCUAACUUUCUCAUAUAGGGGUGAAGAAAACAGGUGGCCAAGAUGUCCGAAAAAAAGAUGACAUCAAGCCGGCGGCAACAUCUCAAGGUGGAGUAAAUAAUGCACAGAUGCUUUUGAGAAUAGAAUAGAAUA